rnacentral:rRNA from 1 species
CAGUAGCCACGGGAAUACAGAGGGUGCGAGCGUUAAUCGGAUUUACUGGGCGUAAAGCGUGCGUAGGCGGCUUUUUAAGUCGGAUGUGAAAUCCCUGAGCUUAACUUAGGAAUUGCAUUCGAUACUGGGAAGCUAGAGUAUGGGAGAGGUUGGUAGAAUUCCAGGUGUAGCGGUGAAAUGCGUAGAGAUCUGGAGGAAUACCGAUGGCGAAGGCAGCCAUCUGGCCUAAUACUGACGCUGAGGUACGAAAGCAUGGGGAGCAAACAGGAUUAGAUACCCCCGUAGUCCCUGUCUCUUAUAC